rnacentral:lncRNA from 1 species
CCCAGCUCAGACACACAGAUUCGAAGGAAGACAUGAAAAGAAUAGAGUUAGGGGUUAGCAUUCGAGGGGUGAUCUCGAAAUACCGGAAGACCUUGUUAAAGAACGGAGAAAAGGGGAAAGAUAAACCAUAUUCCCUCUGCUUGAUGAAGAAGACUAGACUAACGUCUCUUUGGGGGUCGACUAGACCAGGAGGAGAAGGAUCAGGAAGAAUGAUCCUCUCAUUCCGGUAAGGAGCCCGGAUGUGAAAAAGAGUGGUAUCCAGGUAUUCCCUGGAGAUGAAACUCCUAAUGUUGGACGGGGUGAUGCUAGACUCUAGGUUGACGACAUCGGGGAGGCUAGAGCUAUCCAUGGCAAAAGAAGAGGCGUACCUGGAGAAUAAAGACAGGAAGGCAAAGGUAGCAAUGUACUCGGGGAACAAAGGAAUGCAAGAACUUGGAGAAGACAGAGGAAAUUUGAAAUCUAAAAUGACAAUAAGGUGAAAGGGUGUUCUGAGGCAAAUCGUACUUAGACGGCGCGGUCAUAAUAAUUCUCGGUAUUUACCCCCUCGCCAGUC